UGAAAUUUGUAUUUAAUUUAAUUUAUUUAUUAUAUGAAAUAUAUGUAUAACGAUCACAGGCUGCCAGGUGCAGUUCAGGUGUCAGAGGCAGAUCAUGAGACACGUUUCAAGACAUAUGAUUUUUGAGGAUGUGUAUACUCUUCCUUCAGAAUCAUUCUCUGACCCGCACAAGACAAGAUGAUCAGAGUUUAUGUCACUGUCACUGCUGCUGUGCUGGGACUCACAGGUAGUAUAUUCAGUUUACAGUAAAAAAAAGUUAACCUUGUUAAACAAAUAUGAGUGAUAAUAUUUAUCUAGUAUAUAAUAGAGUGAUUUUUUGCUUUCUCUCUUAUUUUUUACUCAGGCUCUGUCUUCAGUACUAAAGUUCAUCAGAGUCAGGGACUGAUAUUACUGGGACAUCUUAUGAUGCAGACUGGACAAAGAGAGGAUGAUUUUAUAGCCAAAGUUGAACUCAAAGGAGAUGCAACUAAAAGUGGUUCUCUAACCAUAAAAGAUCUUUCAGAUAAUGACAGCGCAGUGUACUUCUGUGCAUCCAGUCUACACAGUGAUAUAAACAGUCAAACAUUAAUACAAAAACUCUCUAGUCUGUUACCAGUUUCACUAAAUCAGCUCUUCCUCACCUGUAGAAGGGCUCAGGGUUUGACUUGAUGAACAUUUAAAAAUCUGAGAUCCUGAUGCAAUGCUUAUGCACAAUUAACUCAUAGUUUUCUGCUGCUAUCAACCACUAGAGGACCAAAAGUUGCAUAGUGUAUACUUUUAUGUUGUCAGCGCCCCCAGAUAUGACCUCAUAUCCUAUCAGAAGUGCCUUCCAGCAUUUAAUGCAUAGACUUGUCAUUGAGCAUGUAACACAAACAUGACUCUAUUAAGUGUUUGUGUUUCUCUAGUAUGCCUCACAGCUGCAUGUUUUGGUAAAACUGUUUUCCAGUCACCUGGUGACCUCAUAAAGAACCAAGAUGAAUCUGCUGUAAUCACAUGUACACACAAUAUAGCAGGCUAUGACCGCAUUCUUUGGUACAAAAAAGACAUCAUGGGUUUCAAGUUCAUGGGGUUUCUUAAUCUUAAAUAUGACAACCCCGAGCUGGAAUUUAAAAACAAGAUCAAACUGGAUGGAGAUGGACAGAAAAAUGGUACUCUGAUUAUCAGCAACCUCACGCUGACUGACAGUGCAGUGUAUUUCUGUGCAGCAUAUAACACAGUGCUCAGAAUCAGCUCAGUCUAAUACAAAAACCCUGCUGUGAUAUGAAGCUCACUGAACAUAAUUUUCCACAAACUUACACAUUAGACUAAUAUA
rnacentral:lncRNA from 12 species